rnacentral:lncRNA from 1 species
CUUCUCUCUAGUUGGGGUGCCUGUGAAACCGGCAGGCUCUCUCCAAAUGCCUGGAUUCUGCUGGGGGAGUAAGAAGUCAGGAGUAGUUUGUCUGAUGGUAUUGGGAUCUGCUUUGCAAUUGCCAAGCGCUAAGGCACAAGCUGGCAGAUGUGCUGCGGCUCUGCUACGGGCGGCUCUGUCGCCUUCAGUCGCAGGCUGGUUCUUUGGGGGAAAGUUGUAUCCAAUAUUGGUGACUCCCGGGAAUAGUCUGUUUGUGUGCUACUUAAUGGUCUCUAGGCUUCCUUGUCUUGUAGAACCUUGUUAGAAAGGAGCCUUGGUGAUUAAGAGGCUAUGGAGUACACAGCCUUGCUUAGCAGAUGAGCCCUUAUCCAUUUCCCGUUUCCUUAAAAACGGCUAAUUGAUGGAUGCUGCAGAAAACAUGCACUCUGCUAAUAAGAUGCUGAUGACAAAAUAGGUAUCAGGAAAGGCAUUUACUGCUUAUGAGCACCAUCAGCUUUCUUUCGAGUGAGAUUGUGGCUUUGUAGUAAAGUUUUUUUUUAAGUAAUAUGCUAAUAGUUUUAUUCUAAAUCGGCCAGCGCUGAAUAUCUUCAGGAAAAUGGGUUCCAUGAGAAGUGACAUCCUCCUCGAAUCAAAAGAUUCUCAGGAUGAUGGAGUGAGUGAUGGAAUAGGUUGCCAACUGUAGUUACUCCACUCAGCACAGAAUGGCUGCGGGGAAAUAUAAUCAGACAUGCCCAAAGAAGUCUGCUUAGGGUGAAACAAAUACCUUUGAGGUUUAAAUCAGAAAGGAAGGAGAGACUGUUUCUACAGGUGUCAUACAAAAAUCAAUACUGAGCCAAGGAUUAUUGGAUCCCAUAGAACCACGGAGACUUGGUAGUGAAAUUCUUCCAAAGCAUUCCAUCCGUGCAGGCAGAUGGUGUUCCUAGGUUUGGAAAUAUAAAUCCCAUGGGAAGUCAGCUGAAGACCAUUUUAUGCAUCACUCAUCCUGUUAGAGCCCUGUGCUGUUCUGUCUCUCUAUAAGACUGGCUGAAACCACCACGGUUGUUUACAAUUUAUGCUCUAACUUUGGAUCACCUAGUUAAUACUCUAACUCCGAUUAUUACCAAAGACAAUGUUCUAUAAAAGAUAUUGUCUAUUAGAAGGAUGCUUCUGCAUUAUUAAUAAAAUCACAGGGAAAAUGCAACAUUUUGGAUGUCACAUCUGAUAAGUGGGUGACUGAUCGUACCCGCCAGCUGGCUAAUGUCAUAAUUAACAAAGUUGCUACUACAUCUGCAAAGUUUAAUCGAAAAAUUUGCCAGUGAUAUGAUGGCCUUGUCACAGAGAUCACAAGGGACACGGAGUUGACUUUUGCUCAAGGUGGAACGACAGAGCUGUGUAGGCAAGAUGAGAAAUUGCGAACUUGUUCGGCCAAAGGAGGCUAAUAAUGAAGGGGCCGGGAAGGAGGCCAGUGCUACCAGGGUUAUCUCACAACCUCAGAUGCUGGAUAAGUCGACGGAGGCAGAAUCGCUUUGGGAUGACAUUCAGAAAGCCUGGAGUGAUUACUUGCAAGAGAAAAGCCUACCUAUUCUUUCCAAGGUGCAGGAAUAUUCCCCUGACCUGCUCAUCCAGUGGUCCAGUAAUGAAUUACUGGAGACCUGCCUUAGACAAAGAAUGCACUCGGAGCCCCAACACACCUAAAGCCAUGCUUUGAAGGAUCUGCCAAGCUCACUUUUAAUCAUGAGAAAGAAAUUACCCACACGGAGUCAGCAGAAAAUGAGAAAGUAGAGCUCGUGCUGUGAAUAAUUCCAGCAAGUGCCAAGGGGCUAGUUGAGGAAUGGCUUCAUGAGAUGUUAGUCUAAAACAGCACCUUGGAUCUAAGCAGCACCUUUGAGAAAGAAAAGACUGCUUCAAGAAUGUCUAGUUGCACCUCCUUUCCGUAUGUGGCCUAAAUGCCUAGGUUGGAUCAAUAGUUUAAUUUUUUUAUUGAACUGUUUAAUAUUGACUAUGGACUUACAUUCACUUUUACUGUUUUCUGUAUAUUUACUUUUGCUUGAAGUGUUUUAAUAUUGACUAUUUACCUCUGCUCAUUUUUAUUGAUUUUCUGUAUUUUUUCAAUGAAAAUUAUAAUAAAAAUUAUUUUUGUUA